CAAGGUUCGACUCGAGCGAAGCGAGAGAACGUUGCCGCAGGCAAUGGCCCGAAGGCGAGGCGCUUUAGCGCCGAGUAAUCCUUCCCCCACCACUU
rnacentral:sRNA from 1 species